UGUUUCUAGUUUGUAAUUGGAAAUAUUUCUGCCCGGUGUAUCAUCUAUAAACGGCCGCGGUACUUUGACCGUGCGAAGGUAGCGUAAUCAUUUGUUUUUUAAUUGAAGACUUGUAUGAAUGAAUUUAUGAGGGAAUAGCUGUCUCUUUAUAUUUUUUGUAAUUUUAUUAUGGGGUGAAGAAUCCUCUUAUUUAGUAUUAGACGAUAAGACCCUAUUGAGUUUUACUUUACGGGUAGUUGACUUUUUUUAUUAAUAUAUUUUUGUCUUUACUCUAAUGUUUGGUUGGGGCAACCUUGGAGAGAUAAUAACCUCUUUCUUUUACACAUCCGUUAUUUAUUGAUUGGAAAUAAAUUACCAUAGGGAUAACAGCGUAAUUUUUUUUUAGAGUUCUUAUCAAUAAAAAAGUUUGCGACCUCGAUGUUGGACUAAGAUAUCCUGUUGCUGUAGCUGGUAACAAGGGUGGGUCUGUUCGACCCUUGAAAUCUU
rnacentral:rRNA from 1 species